rnacentral:rRNA from 1 species
UACGAAGGGGGCUAGCGUUGCUCGGAAUCACUGGGCGUAAAGGGUGCGUAGGCGGGCCUUUAAGUCAGGGGUGAAAUCCUGGAGCUCAACUCCAGAACUGCCUUUGAUACUGAAGAUCUUGCGUUCGGGAGAGGUGAGUGGAACUGCGAGUGUAGAGGUGAAAUUCGUAGAUAUUCGCAAGAACACCAGUGGCGAAGGCGGCUCACUGGCCCGAUACUGACGCUGAGGCACGAAAGCGUGGGGAGCAAACAGG